UGGGGCCAUUCCCUUGAGACAUAAUGAAUUACGAAGAAGCAGCACGCAGAUAUUUUCAAAGCCAUCUGUCCUCAGAUAGAGAAGCACUGGUUUCUAAAUCAAGUCCCGUCUCCUUACUUUUUGGUUUCAUUAAUGAAAAGACAUGUUGGCUGGGCACAGCGGCUCAUGCCUGUAAUCCCAGCACUUUGGGAGGCUGAGACAGGAAGAUGGCUAGAGGCCAGGAGUUUGAGACUAGCUGGGCAACAUAGUGAGACCGUGUCUCUACAAAAGGAAUUUAAAAAUUAGCUGGGUUUCGUGGCACAUGCCUGUAGUCCCAGCUACUCAGGAGGCUGAGGCAGGAGGAUCACUGGAACCCAGGAGUUCGAGGAUGCAGUGAGCUGUGAUCACGCCACUGCACUCCAGCCUGGAAGACAAAGCAAGACCCUACUCAAACAAAGAAGGAAGGCAUGUGAUUCUUGUACCAGGUUGACCUCACAGCCCAGUGACAGCCUCUGAGAGUUCAAUGCUGAGUGAGCUCCAUCAUCCUAAGGAAAGAGGAGAUGAAGGGCAUCUAUCUCAAGCAUGGAGUGGGGAGCAAGAAGGAACCGAGUUUGCAGAAAGAUGGCAAAGCUGACCAUCCUUUUAGCUCAGGGGUUUCCAACCCUGGCUGCACACUGAAAUCACCUGGUGAGCUUCUUAAAAUCACAGGUGCUCACUUCCACCUCCAGCAAUGAUUGUGACUUGCUGGACUAAACUUCAUGACUAAAGUUGAGAAAGGCCAGGCUCAUGAAAAGUAACAACUUCCAGGGUGAGGAAAGACGAGAAACUUUGAAAGUAAACACUCCAUAAAAUCAUUGUAGCAAACAUCCCAUGACAGAUAGGAAGGACACAGGAUGCAGUCAGGUGGCUGAAUGCAGGAGCAUCCAAGGUAACUCAGGACUCACCAUAGCCAAGGGAACGAUGCCCACCAGGUCCUUCUGGCUGACAAAGAUCUCGGACACGGCGAUGUCUGUGGUCCCCUUCCGUGGGUACUCCACCUGCCACGUGAUGGGCUGAGUCCCUGAAAGGCUGCUGAAACUGGCUAUUUCAAAGUUCAUCUGCACAACCUCAUUGAAUAAACUGCUGCUCCUGGAAGAGAGAAAAGAAACUGGCUUUAAGCCAACUUUGUUCAAAGGACCCUUCUCUCCUCAUAAUAGUACGCAGAAGAUAAAGACAAAGAAACACAUCUCAGGGAUGGCUCCAGGGUUUUGGUGGGGGAUCCUGGGGCAUGGAACCACCUACAAAGUGAGGACUGGCAUCUGGGACAGAGAAGCACCCACAAGUUAAGGAUAUGGGCCAAGAAUAUUCAACAAUGAGCAGUAACCUGUGUCUGUGUUGAUGAGGCCUUGGAAUGAUUAUUACCAGCUCUGCAGAUGAUGAGCUAAACUAGUUUAUCUCACACCUGCAGUAUGCACCUGAAUGGCCUCUGUUCAGUUCUGUAGGUGUGGCAGAUGCUAUAGGCUGGGGUCCCCAACCCCUGGGCCAUGAACCGGUACCAGUCCAUGGGCUGUUAGGAAUAGGGCUGCACAGCAGGAGGUGAGUGGCGGGUAAGUGAGCAAAGCUCCAUCUCUAUUUAUAGCUACUCCCCAUAGCUCACAUUAUCACCUGAGCUCCACCUCCUGUCAGGUCAGUGGCAGCAUUAGAUUCUCAUAGGGGCAUGAACUGUAUUGUGAACUGCGCAUGUAAGGGAUCGAGGUUGUGUGCGCCUUAUGAAAAUCUAACGCCUGAUGAUCUGUCACUGUCUCCCAUCACUCCCAGAAGGGACAGUCUAGUUGCAGGAAAACAAACUCAGGGCUCCCACUGAUUCUACAUUACGGUGACUUAUGUAAUUAGUUCAUUAUUAUUCAACAUUCAUUAUUCAUUAUCAUUACAAUGUAAUAAUAAUAGAAAUAAGCUGCACAAUAAAUGUAAUGUACUUGAAUCAUCCCAAAACCAUCCUUCCCCCACCACCGC
rnacentral:lncRNA from 10 species